rnacentral:lncRNA from 1 species
GAAAAGUUUGACUUGUUGGGUUGGAUAGUCCUCUUUCUUCUGUGGGUGCUGAGUCGUCUCUCAGAAGCCUGUCUCUGGUAACUUGGUAAGCACUAUAGAUUCUCAGACAUGUUCUUUCUUAGUUCUGUGUCUAAAUGUCCACUGUCUUCAAAGGAAUUGAACACUGGCUUCUUCUCCUAAGAGUAAUUCAUGUUAUUUUGUUUUCUUUUUCUUUCUUUCUCUUUCUCUUCUCUUUCUCUCUCUCUCCUUUUUUUUUUUUUUUUUUUUUGGUUAGAGGGAAAGGUCUUUCUAAUAAAUGGCCAUAAACUAGUAGGUAAAUAGUGACCCUUUUAAAUUUCAUUUAGCAAACAGCUACUACAAAACAAACAGCAUGUUAGUGCUGAUGAAUCUCAGAAGAAUAUUAAUGAUGCCAUAUUGAUAACUUACCAGCUGCACACCAAAACAAGUCAGUGCUGCCUCCCUUGCCUGUUAAUAAUUUGUGUAGGUAGGUAAUGUGCUGUAAGGUCCGUUUGAUCUGACUGUUAGUGUAGUCUUAACUGUUGCGUACUACAUAUGAGCUAACUGCCUUGAAUGCAUUUCCUGUUUAAAAUCAGCCUUAUAAUGCAGUUGUUUUGUUUCAUAUAUAUCAAUGUCACAGUUUGUACAUACAUUAAAAUGACAGUAGUUUCAAAGCCCAUCUCAGGACUACUGAGCUUUUUUUUUUUUUUUUUACUUUGAAGACUCAGGCUUAUUGGCUGAGCCUUAGGGAACAGUUAAGAAUUGUGGGGUAUAAUUUACUAAUGAUCAUGGAAAUCUAAUUUAUUAUUUUUGGCAAAGUGGGAAGACUUUUCCCUAUAUUCUCUUAAAGCUUUUGUCUUUUAAUUUUCCAAAACAAUGUUAACUAAAUAAUGUAUGAUGUUUUAAAUUACUUCUUUGGUAAGAAAAUUAUUUGCUAUUUGUAAGGAUAGUAACUUGUAGCAUUGUGGUUUCUAACAGUCGGGUUUUGUAUUAAUGUAACUGUCACCUGGGCCUCCAGAGACACAGAGCAGACUUCUGAAUAGACCACUGCUUGCUCUGCUUGCUUACACUGUGAAAUGUGAGAUUAUUCUCUUCACUGAAAAUUGGUACGACCUGAUAGAUUGAAGAACGAAAUGGAUGUUUUCUGAAAAGUAGAUCCUAGAAAGGAUUUGAUUCUUUACCUCAAAAGGAGCUUUUACAAUAAUUGUAUUGUUAGCAGUCCAGAUCUGCCCUGCUUAUUAACCCAGAGUGUUCUCUUGUGAGAACUUUUAACAUAAUCACGUUCUUCAAAUGCUCAGGCUCUGUGCGUCGAUUUACCUUUCCUCUUUGUGCUGAGAUUUAUCAGGUUUUUGGGGGUUUGUUGUUAAUGUUUGUUUUCUUCAACCUUACCUGAUGUCAUAUUUUCCACUAAAACAGUUAGUGCUCCCCCCUUUUUUUUAAUCCUAUAUAUCUAGGUUCUGGAGGAUUUGUAUCAAAUGCGUAACCCAGUGUUCUCUAAAGUGUGUUGGAAAACACUGGCUCUUAGGAUCACUAAGGGUUUGAUGUGAGGAAGAGGGCAGAACAGAAAUCUAAGACGUACUGUUGAGGCAGUUUUUCCAUUUGGGAUUUCUUCACACCUGUAAUGUGGGAAUAUGGAUAGAAUCUAUUCAGAUGUGUUCAUUGUUUUGCCUUUAUUUCAGACCACCUUAGUGGAGCAUCUGUCUCAUCUGCCAGCCCUAGUAUGUUCCCCACCAGGGUCACUGCUUUGUACUUUUAGAGAAGGUGUUGUUCACACAUACAGCCUCACACGAAUGGUGUUUUCUGGAGCUGAGAGCCAUGCUGUAUAGAAAGCACUGUUGACCACCCACUGGAGACAGAGUAUAGCCUGGCUGUUGCCCUGUUCCCUUUGUUGUGAUUUCAUACAUGUAUCCUCUAACCUGAGAAAACUCUAGGUCUCCUGGUCUAAGUAUGCCUCUUAUUCAAAGCUCAGCAACUGGACAACCUUUCUAGUCAUUUUUUUAUUUCAUUACUUUGCCUGUCUGAAUUCCUCUAUGUCUCUAUUCUUGCCUAUACGCUUCUUGUAUUUGUUUGCAAGAUAGAUUUAUUUAUUUAUUCAUUUAUUUAAAUGUGUAUGUGUGUUCUUGCAUAAGUUUGUGUGCUCAGGUGCCCAUGGAGACCAGGGGUGGGGUUUGGGGGGUUGGGGGGACAGUUGGAUCCCUUUGAACUGUAGUUUUAACAGGCAUUGUGAGCCCCCUAAUAUGGGUACUGGGAACAGAACACAGGUCCUUUGGGAGAACAGCAAGCUCUCUUGACUACAGAGCCAGUCUCUGCAGCCCAAGUCACACACUUCUUAGGUUCUGUAUCCCCUUUCUGUAGCAGACACAACGUGGAGACGUGUUCAUGGAAGAUGCUACAUCAGGGCACUCUGCAUAUUGGUUUAAGAGUUAGGCAUUGUAUAUCUUUCGUUAAGGUAUUAAUAACAGAGAAGCUUAGAACCUGGGAGAAUUUCUAAAGCUUGUCUUGUCUGACUUCUUAACCCUGCGCCUGUUGCUUCACAGGCUAGUCUGUCUUACUAGUGGACCAGUGAUUCCCUUUCAUUGACUAAGACAGUCGAAUUCAGCUUCUAUAUGGGGAGUAUUUUCCACUUGCAAACAGUGUAGCAUAUUCAUCCUUAUUAGACUUUAUUCUGAUUCUAAAAAUAAUUGCUGUUUAACUUUAUAUUUUUAAUGAAAAUACGUAUGAGACUCAACUCCCAAAGAAUGAAUAAAAAGUUUAAAAAGAGAAAGAACAAGUCAUUGGGGGAAAGUAUGUCUUUUUUUAAAUAACUAAUUUCAUUUGGGACAUAUGCCAUCUUAGCCUUUCAUUUGAAUUAAUAUUGAGAUGUGCUUCCUGGGUCUCUAUAUAAUUCAUUGAUAAAUUGCAUGGUGUACAAGGUCAUAACUUGGAGGGAGUAUUAUGGGUUAUAGUUUAAUUGUCGUCUUGCCGUUCCUUGCGUUGGUGGGAAUGCUUGUGGAGCUGGAAUGGGAAUAGGUCACAGGCCCUAAUGUUUGGGGGCAGGGCGUUUGAGGGUGAACUCUCAGUCUGUGACCUAUUGCUUAGUCACUGCAGGCAUCAGGAAGAAGUACAAGGAUGCAGUCUGUUAAAGGUGAAAAGUAUGGUACUAUGGUCAUUCUUUUACCCGCCUUCAGGUCAAGAAAGACCACAUUUCCCAUGUCUACCGAAUGCUCAUUUCAUACACACCAUGUUCAUUUCAAACUAUAUAAAUUUACCAUUGUAAAAAUCAUCACUCUCAAAAUACCUGGCGGGGGGAACUUCUAGAAAUGAACCCAUUUUCCAGUAAUUAGCAUACGGUGCUAUUGUUUUGUUUAGCUGUUUCAAAUUUUAUACGUAUAUUUUUGAACAGUUUUUAAGGGCUCAUAAUUUAAGUGUUUAUUUUUUUAAAUUUAAAACCUUUUCUUUUGGGACAUUAUUUUAUGAGGAUCCAAUUUAUCAUAAUUAUAUUUAUGCCACUCCCCUCUUCCUCUCUGUUCCCCACUUCCUUUCCUUCUGAUUCUCUUCUUAGUCUGCCAGUGGCUACACCAUUAAAGCAAGCCUUUAGCAACUGUGAACAGCCAGUAGCUUCCCAGGAAGGAAUGGUACCUCAGAGAUACCUCUUUUGAAGGGCCAACCAAAUCUUGUGCCCGUUUUCAUGAUUGUAGUGCUUUAUGGAAUUUGUUCCCACUCUGCAGCUCAAGUUGUUUCUUUCUGAAACGUACGUGCGUGCGAGUGGGUGUGCGCGUGCAUGCGUGCUUACAUCACAGACAGACACUUUUCUAGGGUUCAACACUAACAGCUGUUCAUUCUCAGCAUUUCACUAGAUAGAAACUGCAUUAGCCAUCAUGCUUUGCGACAAAGAGCCCCUCUGCUGCAGGCCGAGCACCACACUGGUUCACAGAUAGAACAAACAUUAAACAUCUAGGGAACCAGCAGUAGCAUAUUCCCUUCAUGGGCCUAUCACUCCUCAGCCGGGCUUUGGGGGUUUUAUAGUACCAGGUAUGCCUUCAUAUGGGGCAGGUCUCCCUCCAGUUCCAUCACACAACAGUUAUCCCCAAAGAGUUCUGCCACUAGUGCACCAGCAGGCUUAUCCUGCUUGGCUAGUCAGUAUUGUAGCACACAUUGUCUAUAGCUAAGUGAGACUAGACCAAUGAUGUGUUUCCUGACCAGGGUAUAUAAAUAGAAUUUCAUAAAGUCCUAUAGAAAAUACUGGGACUUGGUCCUGCUUUAACUUUGUAUCAUUGUAAUUAUAGUGCAACUGUUGGUCAGAGAGAUGCACAGGCGUGGUUUUGCCAGUGG